rnacentral:misc_RNA from 1 species
UUUUUUUUAUAUUUUAUUUUAAUUUUUUUUUUUGGCAUCACGGGUUUAUGAUUAGGGUUUAAGGAUGCUAGUGCUGGCUGUUCACUAUAAGGGAUGCUCCAGAAUUUAUAUACUAGUAAAAUUAAAGAUAAGAAGUCAUUAGAAUAAGGAUUUCUCUUAAUUUAUUUUUGAAUUCUGAAGUUUUUCAAUCAUAUACAUGUUAAUAUGAGACCUUCGGUUUGUCUUUCAUGUCCUGUCUGUAGAAAAGUAUCUUUAUAAUGUAAAAAACUUACGCAGACGGAAAUAUUUAACAAGUUUGAUCAGAACUUUUCCUGAUUGAUGUUAAGCUCCUAAUAUGUGAAUUUCAUUCAAAGUUGGAAGAUGAAAAGAUACUUUCCAAGCAAAUGGAUUAGUUGUUGCACCAGAUGAUUCACUGUUCAAUUCAUGGUACCUUUUUGCACAUGGUUGCUUGUGGCUUUAGUGUUAAAGGAAUGCUUUUGUCCUAUUUGUAAAUGAGUAGCAUGGGCCAAGUUUGUUAGUUUCUUUAGGUUGAUUCAGCAGCAUGCAUUUUAGUAGUAUUCACUUGUUUUCUUAGUUGUGGUGUUGUUUUGUGUCUGCAGGUCACACAGAAGCUGUACUCUCAGUUGCUUUUAGUCCUGAUGGGUGGCAUUUGGCAAGUGGCUCUGGAG